GGGCCCGUAGCUUAGUCCGGUUAGAGCGCUUGGCUCAUAACCAAGUGGCCGCUGGUUCAAAUCCGGCCGGGCCCA
rnacentral:tRNA from 1 species